AGGGUUUGAUUAUGGCUCAGGAUGAACGCUAGCGACAGGCUUAACACAUGCAAGUCGAGGGGUAACAGGGUGUAGCAAUACACCGCUGACGACCGGCGCACGGGUGAGUAACGCGUAUGCAACCUGCCUUUGACAGAGGGAUAGCCCAUGGAAACGUGGAUUAAUACCUCAUAGUCUCUUUUUCCUUCCUGGGGAAUAGAGUAAAACGAGAGUGGUCAAAGAUGGGCAUGCGUCCUAUUAGGCAGUUGGCGGGGUAACGGCCCACCAAACCGAUGAUAGGUAGGGGUUCUGAGAGGAAGGUCCCCCACACUGGUACUGAGACACGGACCAG
rnacentral:rRNA from 1 species